CAAGAAGCAUUCCAAAUGAGAGAGCUCAUUUGGAACUGUCGAGGGGUGGGCAAGAAAGGGAUGGCCACCUGCCUCUCCGACAUGAUUAGUGACCAUUCCCUUGAUUUCCUGAGUCUCCAAGAAACUAUGAAGAAAAAUUUCUCCCCCAAGUGCUUGAGGAGAAUUGACCCUUUUGGAUUCUUCCAUUGGAACUGGAUCCCUUCUGUUGGAAAAUCUGGCGGCAUCCUUUGUGGUGUGAGAUGUGACAAGCUUGAUAUCAUUUCCUGUAUUAAGGGGAGACAUAUGCUGCAACUUGUGUUGCUGGACAAACCUAAGAAUUUGAAGUGGGGGCUGAUAGUAGUUUAUGGCCCAGCGAGGAACUGA
rnacentral:rRNA from 1 species